GUGGGGCCCCGGGCGGCGGCGGCUACGUAGCUGCCGCCGGCCUUGGCCGCGGCCGGGCGGGCGGAUAUGUGGCUUAAAUGGCGCAGGCGUCGGGGCCUAGAGGCUGAAGGGCUGGUCGUCCUAAAAACUCGUGGACGUCGCGCACGGUUACCCGGACGCAGGCCCGCCCCUCUGGGGAACCGCGAGCUCCUCGCAGCUGGGUGGGGACCGUCCUCGCAGUGGCGGCCUCCACCCUGCCUUCUCGCUUAGCCAAGGCUUCUGGAAGGCUCGCAAAGUGUCUGUUGUUGGAAGAAGCCGGGCCCUGACUGGCGCGACGGAUUCUCCCAGCCGCUCAGCAGAGCGUCUGUAGGUCGGAAGUGGGGGUUGUAUUGGGUGGGUAUUGAGCUCUUCGGCCCUUCCUCGGUACUGAUAGUUUUUAAUUUAGGUUUUAAAGGUCUAAAGAUGCGCCCGUUCUGGCCAUCUCAGGUGAAAUGUUGAAACGCCCCAGAACCUAUAAUUUUUGGUUUCUUAGUAAACAUACGAUCCAGAUCUUGUGUAAUUCCAUGCCCCUCCUCCUCGAAAUUUGGAAGUAGUACAUGGUAAUAGGGAUGUGUAAAGCAGCUUUUAGCAGCAUUGCUUAAAUUUAUUUGAAGAAAUUGGCCUGUCUUGCUCUUAAACUCUUGGGCUGUAGGUUUUCCUUACAUAUUUCUCUGUUUUAUGUCGUGGUUUUGACUUGCCUGGGAAGGUGCAGGCGCUUAUUUAUCCUAAAUGCCCUGAAGUGUUUAGGCUACAGGCUGUAGAUCUUAUACUGAUUUUUUUUCUUCAGUUUUCUUGCUUAUUAAGAAUAAAUAUUGACUCCAGAAUGGAUGGGUUAACUUUUUUUCCCACACAGUAUCCAUUUGGGUUUUUAUCAGGAUGACUCCAACAUUUAGUAUUUUUUUUUCCAUAAUCUUAUAAUAUUUCUAUUUGGUAAAAAAUGUUUUAAACACAGCUAUUUCCCCUUCCUCCUUUUUCUGACGUUGCAAAAUUGGGAAAAGAGCUAGGUUCGUUUUGUCAUGGUAAAGCACAGCUCUUGAAAUUGGAAGAGGCCUUAAGGGAAUGUGGUCAAAUUUUUUUCUUGCAGAAAGAUUUUCCGAUUUUAGGGGUGAAGUGGGUGAGAACUAGAAAGGUCAAGUGAUGUACCUGAGAGGCAAAAGCAAUUGCGUUUUUGCAUUUUUGAAAUUUGCUGUUUGAUAUUGGAAUACAUUCUUAAAUAAAUGUGGAUCAUUUUAAUGCA
rnacentral:lncRNA from 1 species